rnacentral:piRNA from 1 species
UCCAGUUCCGGCCUCGUCUGGCCUCC